AUGGAUGCUUCACGAUGCGAAGUGCCUAUCGGCUUGCUCUGGAGGAUUGUCUUCUUCCUUCAUCAGUCGCGGCAAGCAGGGCCAUAUGGGCUUUUAUUUGGAUGUGCCCUGCUCCUCCUAAGAUGUUCGAGGGCGGUGGCGCUAUGGCAAGCCAUGGCCAAGCAAUGGAGGAUUCCAACGGCGGUGAGCUUCCGACGAAUGGGUACAGAGUGGCUUGCCCAAGCUCUCUGUGACCUGCCGGAGACGCAGCAGAUGGAGCUGAUGAUGACAUUAUGGAUCUGCUGGCACGUCCGGAAUGAGUUGACGCACGAUAAACCUGCACCCCUGAUGGAGGCAUCUCGACGUAUUCUGCUCGGCUAUGUUGACUCUUUGAUUGGCCUCCAGAACUCACCCAACUAUGACCCGGUGAAGGGGAAGCAGGUGGUGGAUUCAGUGCAGCCCAGAACACCUAUACUCCACCCACCUACAUCUUCAAGAGCUUCUGCGAGGUGGAUGUUGCCGGCGAUCGGUUGGAUGAAAUUGAACGUGGACGGCUCCUAUUGCCCAUGUAUAGGGACGGCGAUCGUCGGAAUGGUGCUGCGCGACAGUUCCAGGGCUAUCAUCUUCUCUUCGUGUCGAGUGUUGCGUGUGUGCGUGGACCCCCUGGAGGCCGAGCAUAGACAUCUUCUCUUCGUGUCGAAUGUUUUUUCUUAUGUUUGUUUUCGUUUUCAGUCUACAUUUUCGUAUAUGUCAAUAAUAGUUUUAAUAAGUGAUUAG
rnacentral:rRNA from 1 species